GAGGAUGGGGAGGAUGGAGAGGAGGGAGAGGAUGGGGAGGAUGGAGAGAAAGGCGAGGUUGCUUGGAAAGGAGUCUUCAUCGCUGUGUCCUAAUGAACCAUUAGGGAGAAUGAGGUCAACCAAAUCGAUCUGACCUCCCUCCAGCGGUGUGCUGACACUGUGGAUGCAUCACAGAGAUCCUCCUAACUUACUGUUUACCAGCGAGGGCAAGGGAAGACCUGAAGCUGAACGGUGACGGUGAUAGUAUGCUAUCGAAAUAUAUGUUCAGUGAACAUACCUUUUUAAAAGUGCAGACUUUUUUUAUUUUUUAAUGAACAAACGGUCCACCAGUUACAUAACUAACCACCGUCCAAAACGACCCCCGACUCAUCCCAGUUAACCUCUCACAAUCCUUAUAAUCUCCUUUCAUGCAGUCCAUGCUUUAAGGCAAAAUGAAAGAUCGUAGAAAGAACAUUGAAAGAUCGUAGAAUCGUAGAAAGAACAUUGAUUCAAAUGGGCGAUCUAAUGAGGCCACUUGCUCUGAGUAUUUUGCCAAACCAGAAGUCAAAUAGGUUAUAUGUGUAACCUGUACAGUGUGUGGAGUGAAAAGGAAAUGUGAUUUUUGUGUAUCCUACUCCCCCUGAGACCCUCUCGGAGAGUGGGGUCACAGCCAGGGCCUGCCAUUAUUGAUGGGGACCCUGGAGCAAUUAAGUUGCAAGUUUUUAAUGUACACAAGUACAAAUGUACACAUACACAAGUACAGUGAAAUGUCUUUCUUGCGAACUCUAAACCCAACAAUGUAGUAAUCAAUAUUACAGCUACUGGCCCAACGCUCUAACUACUAGUCUACCUGGCAUCACAACGAGACCAAGUGUGUAUAACUCGAUUAUUAUAAAUCCCUUUCGGGUGAGAUCCUAAUCUCACGCUUCAGUUUCUCAACCUUGACAGAAUACAGACAAGAGGUUCCCUGUAGUGUUCAAUACAACGUCACACAACAGGUUCCCUGUAGUGUUCAACACAACGUCAGACAACAGGUUCCCUGUAGUGUUCAAUACAACGUCAGACAACAGGUUCCCUGUAGUGUUCAACACAACGUCAGACAAGAGGUUCCCUGUAGUGUUCAACACAACGUCAGACAAGAGGUUCCUGUAGUGUUCAACACAACGU